rnacentral:rRNA from 1 species
AGCAGCCGCGGUAAUUCCAGCUCCAAUAGCGUAUAUUAAAGUUGUUGCAGUUAAAAAGCUCGUAGUUGAAUUUCGGGAUCGACAGGUUGGUCGCGCCUUCGGUGUGUACUGGUCUCGUCGGUUUCUCCCUUCUGACGAGCCACGAUGUCAUUAAUUUGGUGUCGUGGGGAAUCAGGACUGUUACUUUGAAAAAAUUAGAGUGUUUAAAGCAGGCAU